UACGUAGGGUGCGAGCGUUUGUCCGGAAUUAUUGGGCGUAAAGAGCUCGUAGGCGGUCUGUCGCGUCGGUCGUGAAAACUUGGGGGCUUAACCCUGAGCUUGCGGUCGAUACGGGCAUGACUGGAGUUCGGUAGGGGGAGACUGGAAUUCCUGGUGUAGCGGUGAAAUGCGCAGAUAUCGGGAGGAACACCUAUGGCGAAGGCAGCUCGCUGGGACGUUACUGACGCUGAGACGCGAAAGCGUGGGGAGCAAACAGG
rnacentral:rRNA from 1 species